UAAGGAACAUACGAGCUCAGAGGGGAGCUGCCCAGCACAGUGGAGAAAGUUAGGAGGAUUGCGCGUCACUUUCGCAAAUAAGGGGGUUAGCGAUGACAAGCUACAGGGGAACGUGAAGGAAGAAAUCGAGAAAAGAGCCCAAAAAAAUAAACUGGAUUGCCGGAACAGUCCGGCAGAUAUGGCAGAUAUGGUGGAGAUGUAUGUGAGUUGGCACAGGGCUGUGAACAAGCCCUGACCGACGCACAACUGAAGCUGUUGAUCGAACUCUGUACUUGCCUUAAACUGGUGAAGAUGGGUGUGGAGUCACUGUGCCAGAUGGACUGCACCAUCAUCAAAGGUGCCAUCGAGGCCAGGUUCGUGGAGAGGAAGCAGAAGAACUUAAUGUCCUUCUUUAGGUACUGUACCUCCUGAAUCCCGGAGCGCUGAGGCGAGGGAGAGAACAAAAAACGAAACCAAUUUGCUGAAGAUCUUGUCUAAGGAAUUCUCCCUGCUCGAAGCAAACCAUCAACAGGUCAAAAUACAUCCAGCUCCUGUUUGAGAGAAUCGCUACAACCCAAGUCACCUCUGUGGAGGCCGUGAGAAUUAAGGCUCACGUUAUUCUACAUUUGUUUGUUUUUAUUUGUGGUCUUGAGAAUCAGUCAGCUACAGUUACAUUUAAUUUGAUUACGUUGUGUAGCCAGAAGGCUUAUGUUAAAUGUAUUUUAUGCUAUUGUGAUGUGGUUCUCUUGGCAGUGGAGGUUUCAGUGAGGAGGCAGCAAGAUGGUGACUGUGCAAUGCCCAAGGUGAGAUGUUUAUUUACAGUGAAGUAGGGAAAUAAGUCAUAGCAAAACAAUAAACAAGACAAUGGACAGACCGGAACAUAGACAAGAUACCUCUCUCAUCGUUGUAUCUGUAAAGACCUGCAGUGUCACUUUUAGUUUCUGGUCCAAGCUACGAGAUCGACCGCCCAAGUUCAAAUACAGUAUACCCUGCCAGAUGAUUCUGCAGGCCCUAUUAAGGAAAGACUUAGUCCUCCUCUACUCUCAGCUAAGAUGAUUCAUUUUACAUAAGGGAAGUAUUGUACAGAAGUUAUUAAGCAGAUGGUGGCCUGUGAAAUGUCAAAAGUAGGCUGCAUUUAGCUAUAGGUACAGAAAGCUACUCUGAAAAUAUAGUUGACCAAGCUACCAAUUACUUCACACAGGAAGAAGUUAACCUACACUACAGCUACCCUUAAGAAAGUUACUUUGAAAAGUAGUUCACUACAUUCACACUACUUUUUGAAAAAUGAUCAUAUCUAAAUCUGAAAUGACAUAGACUACAAAUUGUAAGUCAGAUGUUAAUUUAUCCUAUUAAACCAAAACAAUGUUUUAGGUGAGAAUUACACAGGUCUGAUACUGAAAAAGAAAGGAAAAUAUUGCUUACUUCACCAGUAAUUUAAUUUAGCAAAAAAAUAGUGUGUAAUUCCAAUAGUUAGCUACACUGCUACAUGGCAAAGAAGAAAUUAACUACUGAAAACACUACCAAGAUUUGAAUUUGGUUAAACUACCACCAAGCUACUGCAAAACGUUGUUAAAUUACUAGUAACAUAACAUGUAGUUCACUACUCCCCAAUACUGUUACAGGUAUAACUGCACAGAUUCAUGUGACUUCAGCAAAGACUAUAUUCACAUGCAUUUAAGACAAUAACUACUAUUUAUGUUAAUAGCCAAUUGUUCAAAACGCGUCUUUCUUUCAGUUGGUUUCCUUGUACUUUGCUGGUUCUGACAAAGCAGAGGAAGAAAGGGCCACACUAUCCUCCCAUCAUUCCAGCACCUUUCAUCCACAGGGCCUGACUUUUUUGUUGUUGUUGAUCUGUGGUACAGAUAGCAUUGAGAGAAGCAUUCAAUUGAAAUGCAAAAGAAAUGCAAUUUCCUGAAGCUAAAAAAGUCCCUUCAAUAAUGUGAAGCAGUGUCUUGGAGAUGCCUUAUUGUUAAGGCAAGCAUUUCGUGCCUAAUCCUCGUUCUAAUGCUUCUUCUGUCAAGCAAUUACAAUGGCUGUUGAGUACAAAGGGAAAGACUUCCCUGCGUCACGCACAGCGAUCCGCUCUGAAGACAGCGAAUGUUCAAUCCGAGUGCCUGGCCCACACCACUCAGAUCAAAGCCCCGAUAGGUCGCUGGCACAUUCUGCAAAAUAUUUGCUUGAUAAAAGCUGGCAGAUUUGCCAUAUAACAACAUAAUAAGAAAAAUACCCACAUAAGGAAGUGGUAAGACCCUCUCUUCCAGCUCGGACUCCUCUGGAUGCAAAAGGCAAUAUCGUAACAUGAUGAAGUAGGUCAUGAAAAUGGAAGACAGAUGUGAUAUAUUUCCUUGAGUCCUGGACACAGGGAAUCCACGACUUAAUGUUUAAUGCCAUGAUAAAAAUGUGCAUUUAUUGAUCUAGAAGCAGGAAAUCAGAUCGCAUGAGAUGUGCUCCUCGGUGAUGGAAGUUCAGACCUUUUUUAUUUGAAAGUUUAAAGUUUCGUUGUGGUCCUCUUGCAUGGCUAGAAUUGAAGGCUAACAUAUUGGUAUGCAUACAAAAGGUCCCGUUUGGCAGCAGCGAACAGUCAAUUUAUUCUUAAAAAUGUCAAAAGAGAAUCAGUACCUGUUGAGCACUCAUAGUAAGUGGCUUAUACUGUAUUUACUCUUAUUGGCUAUUGACCAUAACAUCCUUAUGUCAUUACCGAAUGCAAUCUGUCAUCCUCUGUCCUCAACUUGUAAUGCUUUGCUAAUAAUCCCUGGAUUAAUAAUGGAGUUAUCAGUGGUACAUAAACACCUGUUGUAACGAUUCUCGUCGUAGGUGGAAGAAGGAGAGGACCAAAGCGCAGCGGGGUUAGUGUUCAUCUUAUUUAAUAAUAAUCAAAACUGAACAACAAAUACACAAACGAAACAGUUCUGUCUGGUGCAGACACACAAAGACUGAAAAUAACCACCCACAAAACACAAUA